rnacentral:rRNA from 1 species
GAUGAACGCUAGCGGCAGGCUUAACACAUGCAAGUCGAGGGGCAGCAUAAUGGAUAGCAAUAUCUAUGGUGGCGACCGGCGCACGGGUGCGUAACGCGUAUGCAACCUACCUUUAACAGGGGGAUAACACUGAGAAAUUGGUACUAAUACCCCAUAAUAUCAUAGAAGGCAUCUUUUAUGGUUGAAAAUUCCGAUGGUUAGAGAUGGGCAUGCGUUGUAUUAGCUAGUUGGUGGGGUAACGGCUCACCAAGGCGACGAUACAUAGGGGGACUGAGAGGUUAACCCCCCACACUGGUACUGAGACACGGACCAGACUCCUACGGGAGGCAGCAGUGAGGAAUAUUGGGCAAUGGACGCAAGUCUGAACCAGCCAUGCCGCGUGCAGGAUGACGGCUCUAUGAGUUGUAAACUGCUUUUGUACGAGGGUAAACGCAGAUACGUGUAUCUGUCUGAAAGUAUCGUACGAAUAAGGAUCGGCUAACUCCGUG